rnacentral:tRNA from 1 species
GAUAGAGUGACUGAAUUAAGUGAUUGAUUGUAAAUCAUUUUAUGGGGCUGCACCCCCCUUUAUUA